UGCAGCUGAAGAUGAAGAAAACCUGUUAGUCUCUGAUUGAAUAUGAUUAUUUCAUAUAUCACCAUCUUUCGGCUGAAGCUGCA
rnacentral:snoRNA from 1 species